rnacentral:sRNA from 1 species
UCCAUGGAUAUGCGGAUGAAUCA